rnacentral:rRNA from 1 species
ACGAACGCUGGCGGCACGCUUAACACAUGCAAGUCGAACGAGAGAAGAGGAGCUUGCUUUUCUGAUCUAGUGGCGGACGGGUGAGUAACACGUGAGCAAUCUGCCUUUCAGAGGGGGAUACCGAUUGGAAACGAUCGUUAAUACCGCAUAACAUAAUUGAACCGCAUGAUUUGAUUAUCAAAGAUUUAUCGCUGAAAGAUGAGCUCGCGUCUGAUUAGCUAGUUGGUAAGGUAACGGCUUACCAAGGCGACGAUCAGUAGCCGGACUGAGAGGUUGAUCGGCCACAUUGGGACUGAGACACGGCCCAGACUCCUACGGGAGGCAGCAGUGGGGAAUAUUGCACAAUGGAGGAAACUCUGAUGCAGCGAUGCCGCGUGAGGGAAGAAGGUUUUAGGAUUGUAAACCUCUGUCUUCAGGGACGAAAAAAGACGGUACCUGAGGAGGAAGCUCCGGCUAACUACGUGCCAGCAGCCGCGGUAAUACGUAGGGAGCGAGCGUUGUCCGGAAUUACUGGGUGUAAAGGGAGCGUAGGCGGGAUCGCAAGUCAGAUGUGAAAACUAUGGGCUUAACCCAUAAACUGCAUUUGAAACUGUGGUUCUUGAGUGAAGUAGAGGUAAGCGGAAUUCCUAGUGUAGCGGUGAAAUGCGUAGAUAUUAGGAGGAACAUCAGUGGCGAAGGCGGCUUACUGGGCUUUAACUGACGCUGAGGCUCGAAAGCGUGGGGAGCAAACAGGAUUAGAUACCCUGGUAGUCCACGCCGUAAACGAUGAUUACUAGGUGUGGGGGGACUGACCCCUUCCGUGCCGCAGCAAACGCAAUAAGUAAUCCACCUGGGGAGUACGACCGCAAGGUUGAAACUCAAAGGAAUUGACGGGGGCCCGCACAAGCAGUGGAGUAUGUGGAUUAAUUCGAAGCAACGCGAAGAACCUUACCAGGUCUUGACAUCGUAUGCAUAGCUCAGAGAUGAGUGAAAUCUCUUCGGAGACAUAUAGACAGGUGGUGCAUGGUUGUCGUCAGCUCGUGUCGUGAGAUGUUGGGUUAAGUCCCGCAACGAGCGCAACCCUUACUGUUAGUUGCUACGCAAGAGCACUCUAGCAGGACUGCCGUUGACAAAACGGAGGAAGGUGGGGAUGACGUCAAAUCAUCAUGCCCCUUAUGACCUGGGCCUCACAUGUACUACAAUGGCUGUCAACAGAGGGAAGCAAAGCCGCGAGGUGGAGCAAACCCCUAAAAGCAGUCUUAGUUCGGAUUGUAGGCUGCAACCCGCCUACAUGAAGUCGGAAUUGCUAGUAAUCGCAGAUCAGCAUGCUGCGGUGAAUACGUUCCCGGGCCUUGUACACACCGCCCGUCACGCCAUGGGAGUCGGUAACACCCGAAGCCUGUAGUCUAACCGCAAGGAGGACGCAGUCGAAGGUGGGAUUGAUGACUGGGGUG